UUCAUAUUUAGUCAAUCAAUAGCUCCAUCCACCAACUGCCUAAACAGAUUAUUCUACAACUUUGUUUGAUUUUGUUAAAAGCAUUAAUAACAAAACAUCACCUUCCAUUCUAUAAUGGCACUAGGCAAUGACUAGGAAAGAAGGACCACACUUGUAUGAAUUUGUCCAAGAAUGGCUGCCUGGUCGUGAGGUUUGCGCCCUGGACUGUCGUUCGGAUUUAUCGAUGGUCGAGGGUUCAACUCCUGCCCGCUCCCAUCCCCCGUCGUCCUGCGGGAGGUUUGGACUAGGAAGUAAACUAUCUUCAAUUCAACUCUGAAGGAACAUCCGAAACAUAGUUGACAGAAAAAAAUAUUGAAUCUACAUUGCUCUACCUCUUCCCAGCAGUCACAAUGAUGCAGGUAGAAGAAAAGCCUGAUGAAACAUAUGGUGGAUGCAAGAACAAAUAAAAAACUCAGAGAAGUUGUGGAGACUCCUCUACUUCAUGGUGCCGGAAUGAUCAGAGAAUUUUUCGAAAUGGCUAUAGCUAAAAAAAGCUUGUCUUUGAUGAAGUAGAUGCUG